UCACAGUAAGAGCUGCAGAAGGUCAGAGAUUGCUUCUUUAUGGCAAGGGAGAGCAAGACAACUCAUGCCACAGGAAGGUUUCUUCUUUUCAUUGCAAAUGCACCUGAGUUCAUAAUAUAAAGCUCUUCUGCUCUUUGUCCUUUGGAAUACAGAGAAAACCAGCUAGAGCCCCAAAAUGGCUUUUAUUUGCACCUACCUGCUGCCUCUCCAUCUCUUCCAGCUGAGAACUCAGGACACUGUAGCCCAGAGGAGGAAAACUCUGUAGAGGACACAGAACAGCCUAUGCAUAUCAUCAGCUUGAAGAAGAUACCAAAUGAUCCCAUUAUCAAGGUGAUAUAUACAUUAACACAAGUUUCAGCACUAUAGUCUUUCCUAUUUAAUAGCUAAGAAUAGAACAGAAGAUAAUUAUCUAAUUUGCU
rnacentral:lncRNA from 1 species